GAAAUGCGAUAAGUAAUGUGAAUUGCAGAAUUCAGUGAAUCAUCGAAUCUUUGAACGCAUCUUGCGCUUCUUGGUAUUCCGAGGAGCAUGUCUGUUUGAGUGUCAUUAACUUCUCAAUCAUUUCUGGCUUGAACUUAGCUGGGUCUGACUUGGAUUAUGGAUGUUGCAGGUUUGUUUUUGAAUCCUGCUUGUCUGAAAUGUAUUAGCAUAAGGUUUUCAAUCACUUAUCAUUGGCAUGAUAAUUGUUUAUAAUGUCAUUGACGUGUUUGACUUGAGCUUCUAAUUGUUUGCUUAGCAUACAGUUAUUUGAAAAUUUUGACCUCAAAUCAGAUAGGACUACCCGCUGAACUUAA
rnacentral:misc_RNA from 1 species